GCCUACGGGGGGCAGCAGUAGGGAAUAUUGCUCAAUGGGGGAAACCCUGAAGCAGCAACGCCGCGUGGAGGAUGAAGGUUUUCGGAUUGUAAACUCCUUUUGUUAAAGAAGAUAAUGACGGUAUCUAACGAAUAAGCACCGGCUAACUCCGUGCCAGCAGCCGCGGUAAUACGGAGGGUGCAAGCGUUACUCGGAAUUACUGGGCGUAAAGAGCACGUAGGCGGGAUAGCAAGUCAGAUGGGAAAUCCUAUGGCUUAAACAUAGAAAUGCAUUUGAAACUGUUAUUCUAUGGUAUGGGAGAGGUG
rnacentral:rRNA from 1 species